rnacentral:rRNA from 1 species
UACGGGAGGCAGCAGUGGGAAUAUUAUACUAGGCAAGCGAUCCUAAUCCAGCCAUGCCGCGUGUGUGAAGAAGGACCUUUCGCCUGUGAAGCGUAAUACAGCUUUGAAGAAGAGCUAAUAAGUUAAUACCGUAGAGCGAUGACAGUCCCG